GCCAGGCGUGGUGGCACACGCCUGUAAUCCCAGCUACUCAGGAAGCUGAGGCAGGAGAAUCGCUUGAACCCAGGAAGUGGGGGUUGCAGUGAGCUGUGAUUGUGCCACUGCACUCCAUCCUGGGUGACAGAGUGAGACUCAGUCUCAA
rnacentral:SRP_RNA from 1 species